rnacentral:rRNA from 1 species
AGGACGAACGCUGGCGGCGUGCCUAACACAUGCAAGUCGAACGGAGCCCGCAAGGGUUCAGUGGCGAACGGGUGCGUAACACGUGAGGAACUUGUCCAUCGGCGGGGGAUAGCCGGCCCAACGGCCGGGUAAUACCGCGUACGCCGUCCGGAGCGCAUGCUCUGGCCGGGAAAGCAGCAAUGCACCGAUGGAGAGCCUCGCGGCCUAUCAGCUAGUUGGUGGGGUAAUGGCCUACCAAGGCGACGACGGGUAGCUGGUCUGAGAGGAUGACCAGCCACAUUGGGACUGAGACACGGCCCAGACUCCUACGGGAGGCAGCAGUGGGGAAUAUUGCGCAAUGGGCGAAAGCCUGACGCAGCGACGCCGCGUGUGGGAUGACGGCCUUCGGGUUGUAACCACUGUCGCGAGGGACGAAGAUCUGACGGUACCUCGAAGGAAGCACCGGCUAACUCUGCGCCAGCAGCCGCGGU